AUGCUUGAUUCAGCAGCACAUAUACUAAAAUUGGAAUGAUACAGAGAAGAUUAGCAUGGCCCCUGUGCAAAGGAUGACUCUCACAUUUGUGAAGCAUUCCAUAUUUUA
ensembl:snRNA U6 U6 spliceosomal RNA